rnacentral:rRNA from 1 species
GAUGAACGCUGGCGGCGUGCCUAAUACAUGCAAGUCGAGCGAACAGAUAAGGAGCUUGCUCCUUUGACGUUAGCGGCGGACGGGUGAGUAACACGUGGGUAACCUACCUAUAAGACUGGAAUAACUCCGGGAAACCGGGGCUAAUGCCGGAUAACAUUUAGAACCGCAUGGUUCUAAAGUGAAAGAUGGUUUUGCUAUCACUUAUAGAUGGACCCGCGCCGUAUUAGCUAGCUGGUAAGGUAACGGCUUACCAAGGCAACGAUACGUAGCCGACCUGAGAGGGUGAUCGGCCACACUGGAACUGAGACACGGUCCAGACUCCUACGGGAGGCAGCAGUAGGGAAUCUUCCGCAAUGGGCGAAAGCCUGACGGAGCAACGCCGCGUGAGUGAUGAAGGUCUUCGGAUCGUAAAACUCUGUUAUUAGGGAAGAACAAAUGUGUAAGUAACUGUGCACGUCUUGACGGUACCUAAUUAGAAAGCCACGGCUAACUACGUG